rnacentral:sRNA from 1 species
UUGCUGCCAUUAAUGUGUCUCUUUCUCUUUUUUAUUCUUUGACCUAGGGAAGAUUUAGGAUUCAGAUUUAUAUCGGAACAGGUCAGUCACCACCCCCCCAUCAGUGCGUUCCACUCGGAAGGUCUCAACCAUGACUUCCUGUUCCACGGCUCCAUCUACCCCAAGCUCAAGUUCUGGGGCAAAAGCGUGGAGGCGGAGCCCCGAGGCACCAUCACCCUGGAGCUGCUCAAGUGAGUGUCGACAUAAUGAAGCCUACACCUGGACCAACCCCACCUGCUGCGUCCACAACGUCAUCAUCGGGAAGCUGUGGAUAGAGCAGUAUGGGACAGUGGAGAUUUUAAACCACAGAACCGGACAUAAGUGUGUGCUUCACUUUAAACCGUGUGGAUUAUUUGGAAAAGAACUUCACAAGGUGGAAGGACACAUUCAAGACAAAAACAAAAAGAAGCUCUUUAUGAUCUAUGGCAAAUGGACGGAAUGUUUGUGGGGCAUAGAUCCUGUUUCGUAUGAAUCCUUCAAGAAGCAGGAGAGGAGAGGUGACCACCUGAGAAAGGCCAAGCUGGUAAGGGCUGGGGCGUCCCCAGGCAGAGCUGAGCCCUGGGUGCUGAGGGCUGCCAGGCCACUGCUGCCUUUAGCUCACCUGUUGGGGUCCCAGGGAACCUUUGGGCCCCACCAGGAGAGAUGAAUGUGCAGAAUUUGUCUGGCCAGAUGAACCAUGUAUUGUGGGUUCCAGUAUCAGUGAGGGGGUUUAUCUGUAUUUCUUUCCAUUUUUUUUUUUUCCCCUCCAGGCAGGGUCUCCCUCUGUUGCCCAGGCUGGAGUGCAGUGGUGCAGUCGUAACUCACUGCAACCUCCAGCUACCAGGCUCAAGCAAUCCUCCCUCCUUAGCCUCCCAAGUGGCUAGGACUAUAGGCAUGUACCACCAUGCCUGACUAAUUUUUAUUUUUUUGUAGAGAUGGGGUCUUGCUAUGUUGCCCAGGCUGGUCUUGAACUCCUGGGCUUAAGCAGUCCUCCCACCUCGGCCUCCCAAAGUGCUGGGAUUACUAAUAGGCAUGAACCACAACACCCAGUCGGCUUAUCUGUAUUUUGGUUGCACGGAGGCUGCUGCUAUAAACCGUGGGCACCAGUGCCCACGAGUCAUACAUAAUUGCUGGCCCCCAUGGCUGGAAGUAUCUGAGGGAACCUCAGGCAAGGCUGUUUCUUUUCUGGAAGCUCCAAGUUCUGGGUCCUUCUUAAUAAAUCUUCUCGCUUUCUUUGAGUUAGCCUAGACAUAUUGUUAAAAAUCAAGUGAAUUUCAAUUUUUUGUUUUUAGUUGUGAGUACCAGAUAAUAUAUUCAACAGCCAGAAAGUACUGGCAAGGCUUUUCCCCUUAGAGCUUUGGAAUACUCAUUAUCUUAAGACUAGUUGUUCUUGAACUUAAAAAUAAAAGGGAUAGUUCAAAAGAGGUGUCCUAUUUUCUACAUAAUGAAUUGGAAUGUACCAAACCUGAAAUGUUCAAUAUUUAUUUAACGGAAACAUUCAGCCUCCUCCGGAUCCCAAGUGUUUUUUAUGUUGUAGUAUUGAUUUGUGCUGUUAGACACCUUUUCUAAUCACCCUCUUUUAUUUAAAAAGGAAAAUUCUGCUUACACACUAGACAGACCUAGAAGGGUAAAUCCAUUUAGCGAUGUCUUUUGAUGCUUUCCUGCUCCUUGAGGUGACCUAGAAACGGGAGUUCUCUGUGAAUCCUUGUCCUUGAGCUGCGGCUCUCCCUCGUCCCAGCCUCGGGCCGUGGUGCCUACAGCCAGUGUGAAUACAGCUAGUGCAGGAAGCCCUGGGCUUUGACUCGCUUGUUUUCAGUGGUCUCCCUGAACAGCUGCUUCUGGAAUCAUUCCCUUUUCUAGGACCUAUUUAUUUUGAGAAGCAAUGUGGCAGGUUUUGUCUUUUCAUCAGGGUGUAGAGAGCCUGAAACCCCCACACAGGAGCCACUUCUUGAUGGGGGCAAAGCUGCGCUAUCUAGAAAGCUCUCAGUCCCAGAACCUGCCUUCUGGAGAGGCGCCGUGUGUGUGAAUGAACCUGCUGUUUGGAAGGCACCGCUGUGUCGUCGCACUCAGACUCCAUGAAGCGCUGUUUCGCGUGCACCGCUUCUCCCGAAGGGAAACACGCCUGGCCACUGACUUCCUUCAUCUCCAUGAAGGGAAACGCCUGGCCACUGACUUCCUUCGUCUCUGCGAAGGGAGACGCCUGGCCACUGACCUCUUGUCGUCACCCGAAGGGAAACACGCCUGGCCGCUGACCUCUGUCGUCUCCGCUCUGGGUGUCCGUUAGAACAGACAGCACAGCCCCACGAAGGGAGUGUGAGCUGCUUUAGGGACUGGGGCCCAGCUCCUCUCCGUACAGUGAUGGACAGACAGUGUCAUAGACUGGAGAGGAAAUUCGAUUUUCUCCUUAGUUUAAGAAAAAAAAGGCCGGGUGUGGUGGCUUACACCUGUAAUCUCAGCACUUUGGGAGGCCGAGGUGGGUGGAUUGCCUGAGGUCAGGAUUUCAAGACCAGCCUGGCUAACAUAGUGAAACCCCGUCUCUACUAAAAGUACAAACAAUUAGCCGGGCAUGGUAUUGGGCGCCUGUAAUUCCAGCUACUCGGGAGGCUGAGGCAGGAGAAUCUCUUGAACUCAGGAGGCAGAGGUUGCGGUGACCCGAGAUCGCACCACUGCACUCCAGCCUGGGCCACAGAGCGAGACUCCGUCUG